rnacentral:lncRNA from 1 species
AUGGAAACGAAAAAAAAAAAUUCAUUAAAACAGUAUGAUGAUAUCAGUUUAGAACUUCUUAUAUGCAAUGUGUUGUUGUCUAAUAUUUCUGAUUAUACAAGAGGGGAAGAAGAUAAACAUGAACAAAUAAAAACUCUUAAUAAAAUAAAUAAUAUUUUUUGUUCGUAUAGUUUUGAAUUAUGCGAUAAUGAAACUGAAAAUAACUUAUAUAAAAAAUUUUAUAAUAUAUGUUAUUUUAAGGAAUAUGAGUUAUUAAGUCAAGUGUUAAAUCAAUUAAUAGACUUGAAUGAAAAUUUUAGUAUAAUUAUAUCUUACAAUGCUUUUGAAUUUUUUCACAUAUGGAAGUUAUUUUACCCAGGUUUUAAAAAAAAAAAAAAAAACGCAUUAUAAAAUGAUAAAAAAAUAUCACCGUAUGCGUAUAUAUGUAUACAAUUUAUAUGUGUUGUAGCACUUUUAUG